rnacentral:rRNA from 1 species
GAUGAACGCUGGCGGCGUGCUUAACACAUGCAAGUCGAACGAAGCAUUUAGGACAGAUUACUUCGGUUUGAAGUUCUUUAUGACUGAGUGGCGGACGGGUGAGUAACGCGUGGGUAACCUGCCUUGUACUGGGGGAUAGCAGCUGGAAACGGCUGGUAAUACCGCAUAAGCGCACAAUGUUGCAUGACAUGGUGUGAAAAACUCCGGUGGUAUAAGAUGGACCCGCGUCUGAUUAGCUAGUUGGUGAGAUAACAGCCCACCAAGGCGACGAUCAGUAGCCGACCUGAGAGGGUGACCGGCCACAUUGGGACUGAGACACGGCCCAGACUCCUACGGGAGGCAGCAGUGGGGAAUAUUGCACAAUGGAGGAAACUCUGAUGCAGCGACGCCGCGUGAGUGAAGAAGUAAUUCGUUAUGUAAGGCUCUAUCAGCAGGGAAGAUAGUGACGGUACCUGACUAAGAAGCUCCGGCUAAAUACGUG